UCGAGAAUAAUUCACAAUGGGGGAAACCCUGAUGGUGCAACGCCGCGUGGAGGAUGAAGGUCUUCGGAUUGUAAACUCCUGUCAUCUGGGAGUAAGACCUGGGCGUGAAUAGCGCACAGGGUUGAUAGUACCAGAAGAGGAAGGGACGGCUAACUUCGUGCCAGCAGCCGCGGUAAUACGAAGGUCCCAAGCGUUGUUCGGAAUCACUGGGCGUAAAGGGUGCGUAGGCGGUUUGGUAAGUCAGAUGUGAAAUCCCGGGGCUCAACCCCGGAACUGCAUCCGAUACUGCCAGACUUGAGGACUGGAGAGGUGACUGGAAUUCUCGGUGUAGCAGUGAAAUGCGUGGAUAUCGAGAGGAACACUCGUGGCGAAGGCGAGCUACUGGACAACAUCUGACGCUGAGGCUCGAAGGCUAGGGGAGCAAAAG
rnacentral:rRNA from 1 species